rnacentral:lncRNA from 1 species
GGGUCAACAUGUGGGCUAUCAUUGUCACCUUCCCUGCCUCAUCUUCACCUCACCUCACCUCACCUAAAUCAUGCUGUAUGCAUAUAUGCUAGAGACAAAGGCGAAAUCCUCAUCGAAACUAUUGAUUUUGGGUAAAACACUGAUCAAGUUAGAUAUAAGUUUCUCAAAUGAAGCACCAACGUUGUGAUCUUCUCAUAGAUUUUCAAAAUCCUGG